GUUUGCACAUUCAUAUAGCCCAUUUCUGUGUCGGGUUGAAAAUGACAGCCAACAGUUUGGGGAAUCACGAUUGUUUUCAACGAAUUCUGGAGCAGGAUCCGGAGAUCCCGGAAGAGUUUUCCACUGACGCGAAACUUUUCGUCAAAGGACUGUUAACUAAAGAACCAAAGAAACGUCUAGGUGCAGGCGAGAACGGAGUCGAUGACAUCAAAAGGCACCGAUUCUUCAACAACAUCAACUGGGCUGAAAUGGCUCAAAAAGCCGAUUCAGUCGGUUUUUCAUGACGCCAUGUUCCUCGGCACCGAGGACAAUCACCAUCCGCCAUCCCAUGCUCGAUCCCAAGAUUGUGUCCCUUCAUGAUCAGAGGGAGAGAGUCACGCGGCCGCUCCCCUCCAAAGCUACCCCACGGGUGACACCAAGCUUCACACAGAAUUGUAUUGGAAGCCUAAUACUGAACGUGUAAC